UGGCCAGCACCUCUCUUUCAUGGGUAAGGAAGUUGAGGCUCAGACUGGCAAAGGGAACUUAUUCAAGGUUUUGCUGAAAAAGAGAAAACAGAAGUUAAUGGCAUUACCUCAGGCUGUAUAGCAAAGCUAUGAUUUGACUCUUGACUUCUGACUCUUGAGCUUCUGAUUCAUGCUUCUUCCAUCACAUCAGAGCUGCCGGAACCUUUACAGUGUUGUGGGGAUCAGACCAGCUUCCUGGAUAAAUGCACAGCAACUGCGAAGUUGUAAAGUGCUUGACUUACAUUGCCUGUUAGUUGGGAGUUGGGACUAAGUGGUCUAUAAGAGUGCUUUUAGCUCAAGAAUCUGUUUCUAGGAUUUUCCUUAAUUGCGGAAAUAAACAUUCCCCUCCUCCCCCGAAAUUGAUAACCAGGGUCCAGUGAGCUAAAAUCUUGUCAGAUUGGUAGUCACUCUUCCAAUUUGAGUGUCUUCACUCAACCUCCCAUGUUUGUUUUUAAAAUACAUUUAUAUUUUUUAAUGUAAAAGUGAUACAUGAAAGUGAUGCAUGGUUCUCAGAAAAUGUGAAGAAUACAGAAGAAUAAAAGGUAAAACAACAAAACCACCACCACAACAAAGUCCAUCAGUUUUAUUGUAGAACUAUAACCGGUAGUAGCAUUUCAUCUAUUUCCUCCUAAUCUUUAAAAACAAAAAAAACAAAAACGAGUUUGGGAUGUGAUUUUUCUCUUUCCCAAGUAUCCCCUUUCCUCAAUCUUAUGUUGAGGGUAAAUGAGAUAAAAAAAACAAUCGACAUCAUCAGCUUCAUUACAACUGACCUUUAAGGUGUUUAGUGCCAAAUACCUUACAUUUGAUUUUUCAUUUAGAGUUUGUAAUAGUUUGCUGUAUUUGCUUUAUUGCAUAUCUGCCCUCCCUUAAUCUAUUUAUUCAUCAAUCCAUCUUAUUUCGAAGCAUGUAUCAGUACCCUUCACCUUUAAACACUUCAGCAUUCAUAUAAUUAUUUGUUUAUAUAGAACACAGUCUUACUGUCUAUGACAUUGUUUGAUUAAUGUCUAUCUGCCCUAAGCUCCAAAGAAUCGUUUCUCUUUAAGGCAUUCUCCAAAGAGAAUAAGUUUUAACAUAGUAUCUUUUACCUUAAAAUAAACAAUAUCUUUCUUUUUUGGUCA